rnacentral:rRNA from 1 species
AUUACCCGCUGAACUUAAGCAUAUCAAUAAGCGGAGGAAAAGAAACUAACAAGGAUUCCCCUAGUAACUGCGAGUGAAGCGGGAAGAGCUCAAAUUUAAAAUCUGGCGUGCCUCUGGUCGUCCGAGUUGUAGUCUGGAGAAGCGUUUUCCGUGUUGGACCGUGUACAAGUCUCUUGGAACAGGGCGUCAUAGAGGGUGAGAAUCCCGUCUUUGACACGGACUACCAAUGCUUUGUGAUGCGCUCUCAAAGAGUCGAGUUGUUUGGGAAUGCAGCUCAAAAUGGGUGGUAAAUUCCAUCUAAAGCUAAAUAUAGGCGAGAGACCGAUAGCGAACAAGUACCGUGAGGGAAAGAUGAAAAGCACUUUGGAAAGAGAGUUAAACAGUACGUGAAAUUGCUGAAAGGGAAACGCUUGAAGUCAGUCACGUCUGCCAGGACUCAGCCUUGCUUCUGCUUGGUGCACUUUCUGGUUUGAUGGGCCAACAUCAAUUUUGACCGCUGGAGAAAGGCUUUGGGAAUGUGGCACCUUUGGGUGUGUUAUAGCCCUUUGUUGUAUGCAACAGUUGGGAUUGAGGACUGCAGCACGCCUUCAUGGCCGGGGUUCGCCCACGUACGUGCUUAGGAUGUUGGCAUAAUGGCUUUAAGCGACCCGUCUUGAAACACGGACCAAGGAGUCUAACAUGCCUGCGAGUGUUUGGGUGGAAAACCCAUGCGCGUAAUGAAAGUGAUAGCUGAGAUCCUCUCAUCAGGAGCAUCAGCGCCUGGACUUGAUCUACGGAGACGGUUCUACGGUAGAGCAUGUAUGCUGGGACCCGAAAGAUGGUGAACUAUGCCUGAAUAGGGUGAAGCCAGAGGAAACUCUGGUGGAGGCUCGUAGCGAUUCUGACGUGCAAAUCGAUCGUCAAAUUUGGGUAUAGGGGCGAAAGACUAAUCGAACCAUCUAGUAGCUGGGUUCCUGCCGAAGUUUCCCUCAGAUAUC